rnacentral:ncRNA from 2 species
GCGCGACACGCGGGAGAGAACUCCUCGAUGGAGUCGCCGAAGGCGCAACCCCCGGAACCGCUCAGGCAAAAGGACCGCGUGCGCAGC